rnacentral:rRNA from 1 species
GUCUAUGGCCAUGCCACCCUGAAUGUGCCUGAUCUCGGAAACUAAGCAGAGUCGGGCCUGGUUAGUACUUGGAUGAGAGACCAUCUAGGAAGACCAGGUGCUGUAGGCA